CGGUGAGAAAAACGUCAAGUAUAGAAGAGUAACAGUUAGAGGAGUUACUUUCCGUGAGCGAACCUACGUUUAAAAACAAUAUCACACGGCAACGUGUAUAGGCAAUAUCGCUACACGUACGCGUACAACGUAAAGUUUGAAAUAGUUCUCGAAGAAGAGAUAUUAUAAUCCGUCGGAUUAUAAUAUUAAUUAUCUUUACUAGAGAUAGUAUGUUGAUAACCCUUGCAUUCUGUACAACGUUGUCUUAGUUAAAAGUUUUGCUUGUUGUCAGUUUAAUGUUUGUGUUUAAAAUAUCAAUAACGUACACAUGCGAUUUAUUUG